rnacentral:lncRNA from 1 species
UUGUCCGCGACGCAGCUCGGGAUCCGGGUCGGGGUGUCGGCCGGGUUGCUGCCGGGCACCGUCGAGCGUUAGCCACCCAGCAUUGAGCUGCCAGCGGCUGUUCUCCCUAAGCACCCUCGCUCACGUCGCCUCGCCUCGCCUCGCCUGACCGGCCGCAGCCUUGGAUACCAGCCUUAAAUCGAGCCGACUACGGCCCAGCCCCGCCCGCGGCGAGGAAUCCACUGAAGACCUACAUUUCCCGGAAGGUUAACAGCCCCCUUCUCAGUUUUCCUGCUGCUCCUAUCAGUGACAAAUCAGCGUAUUAGAACAUGCAUGCUGGCUGAUCAUUCUGAUCAAGUCAACAAGCUUCACAACUUACUCAAUGAGGUCGUCCGUGAGAACUUCACUGUUUUACGGGGACAGGAGCUACUUCUUUGCUGAACUGCAUCACGGUUUCAACUGCUGAGGUUUUCUUCAAGCUUUUGCAUUGUUUGGAAUGUGAAGGGCAUGGCCGAGACACACUUUGAGGUUCCCACUGCAUUGUUACACCUCCCCCCUCACUUCAGGGCCAGGUAACACCAAGAAGGACGCCAUGAGAGCGAAGGCCGUUGGGUCACCGCCCUUUGCUCUCGCGCUGCGCGUCUCCCUGCCAUCAACCGCCGCAACUGGCGCUGGGAGCGGUUGAGGGCGGCCGGCCUCGCGCUGGAACCUCGCCCGCCUCAAGGCUCCUGCGGCGGCACACGGGGCAGGCCAGGACCCGCCCUAGGAGGGCCCCGCUGGAGAUGUGGAAAUGGAGGGACGCGGCACCUGGGCGCUUCCUGGGGCCAGACAACGCCCCCUCAUUGGAACCUCCAUGACCCUGCCUCUGAGAAACCAGCGCGUCCGCAACGAUCACUCCUAAUUUUCGGUAAU